AACGAACGCUGGCGGCGCGUCUUAAGCAUGCAAGUCGAACGGCAUGAGGAAGCUUGCUUCCUCAGAGAGUGGCGGACUGGUGAGUAACACGUGGGUGACCUACCCUUGAGAUGGGAUAGCCAUUAGAAAUAGUGGAUAAUACCGAAUACGCUCUACGGACUCUGGUUUGUAGAGGAAACAGGCUACGGCCUGGCUCGAGGAUGGGCCCGCGUCCCAUUAGCUAGUUGGUGAGGUAAGAGCCCACCAAGGCGACGAUGGGUAUCCGGCCUGAGAGGGUGUACGGACACAUUGGGACUGAGAUACGGCCCAAAACUCCUACGGGAGGCAGCAGCUAAGAAUAUUCCGCAAUGGACGAAAAGUCUGACGGAGCGACGCCGCGUGGAUGACGAAGGCCGAAAGGUUGUAAAAUCCUUUUGCUGAUGAAGAAUAAGCGUGGUAGGGAAUGACCGCGUGAUGACAUUAGUCGGUGAAUAAGCCCCGGCUAACUACGUGCCAGC
rnacentral:rRNA from 1 species